rnacentral:rRNA from 1 species
UCCGUAGGUGGACAGAUAAGUCAGAGGUGAAAUCCUGCAGCUCAACUGUAGAACUGCCUUUGAUACUGUUUGUCUUGAGUUAUUGUGAAGUGGUUAGAAUGUGUAGUGUAGCGGUGAAAUGCAUAGAUAUUACACAGAAUACCGAUUGCGAAGGCAGAUCACUAACAAUUAACUGACACUGAUGGACGAAAGCGUGGGUAGCGAACAGGAUUAGAUACCCUGGUAGUCCACGCCGUAAACGAUGGUCACUAGCUGUUCGGACUUCGGUCUGAGUGGCUAAGCGAAAGUGAUAAGUGACCCACCUGGGUAGUACGUUCGCAAGAAUGAAACUCAAAGGAAUUGACGGGGGCCCGCACAGGCGGUGGAGCAUGUGGUUUAAUUCGAUGA